rnacentral:rRNA from 1 species
GACGAACCGUGCGAACGUUAUUCGGAAUCACUGGGCUUAAAGGGCGCGUAGGCGGGCUUGUAAGUCAGGGGUGAAAUCCCACGGCCCAACCGUGGAAGUGCCUCUGAUACUGCGAGCCUCGAGGGGGAUAGGGGCGUGCGGAACUCAGGGUGGAGCGGUGAAAUGCGUAGAUAUCCUGAGGAACACCGGUGGCGAAAGCGGCGCGCUGGAUCCCUUCUGACGCUGAGGCGCGAAAGCCAGGGGAGCAAACGGGAUUAGAUACCCCGGUAGUCCUGGCCCUAAACGUUGGGUACUAGGUAGCGGCCUGUCAUGGGGUCGCUGCCGGAGCAAAAGUGUUAAGUACCCCGCCUGGGGAGUAUGGUCGCAAGGCUGAA